rnacentral:rRNA from 1 species
UACACUCCUACGGGAGGCAGCAGUGGGGAAUUUUGGACAAUGGGCGAAAGCCUGAUCCAGCAAUGCCGCGUGAGUGAAGAAGGCCUUCGGGUUGUAAAGCUCUUUUGUCAGGGAAGAAACGGUGAGAGCUAAUAUCUUUUGCUAAUGACGGUACCUGAAGAAUAAGCACCGGCUAACUACGUGCCAGCAGCCGCGGUAAUACGUAUGGUGCAAGCGUUAAUCGGAAUUACUGGGCGUAAAGCGUGCGCAGGCGGUUUUGUAAGUCUGAUGUGAAAUCCCCGGGCUCAACCUGGGAAUUGCAUUGGAGACUGCAAGGCUAGAAUCUGGCAGAGGGGGGUAGAAUUCCACGUGUAGCAGUGAAAUGCGUAGAUAUGUGGAGGAACACCGAUGGCGAAGGCAGCCCCCUGGGUCAAGAUUGACGCUCAUGCACGAAAGCGUGGGGAGCAAACAGGAUUAGAAACCCGUGUAGUCCC